CCUACGGGUGGCAGCAGUGGGGAAUUUUGGACAAUGGGCGCAAGCCUGAUCCAGCCAUUCCGCGUGAGUGAAGAAGGCCUUCGGGUUGUAAAGCUCUUUCGGCCGGGAAGAAAUCGCACGGGUUAAUACCCUGUGUGGAUGACGGUACUGGAAGAAGAAGCACCGGCUAACUACGUGCCAGCAGCCGCGGUAAUACGUAGGGUGCGAGCGGUCGUCGGAAUUACGCGGCGUAUUUUGUGCGCAGGCGGUGAAAUCCCCGGGCUUAAGCUGGGAACUGCGGUUGUGACUGCAAGACUUGAGUGCGGCAGAGGGGGGUGGAAUUCCACGUGUAGCAGUGAAAUGCGUAGAGAUGUGGAGGAACACCGAUGGCGAAGGCAGCCCCCUGGGUCGACACUGACGCUCAUGCACGAAAGCGUGGGGAGCAAACAGGAUUAGAUACCCGAGUAGUC
rnacentral:rRNA from 1 species